AACAUAGUUGAAUGGGUUCAGGUUAAAUUCUACUAAAUUGGCAUAACUACGCCACCUACUGUUAAAAGCCGUACCUGCUUCGAGUAGUUGUAGCACAGCAUUAUGGGAAAUUCCUCACAGCAACGUAGGAUUUCCAACAAGACAGAGCAUGCUAGCUGUUGUCCUUUGAGAUGAGCAUUCACACACUGUUGUCUUCCAUUGUAAAUGCAGGCAGAGGCGUAAUAAACUGGCUGUUACCAACUCGACUGGCUCCGAGUGAUAUAGGAGACAUCUCACAUAGGUCACAUUGGUGCCGUGACUCGUCCAUGACUACGCUGGACCGGGUGGAUGUCUUCUCGUCAUCAGUUGGAGCUGUAUAUCUUUCAUCCGUGUAUUGGAUUGUUGGGGUAAUCUAAUUGGUAAACAGUCAUUUUUUUUGGAUGCAUUCAGGAACUCCUUUUAUUCUCAUUUUAUUUGACUGU